UACAGAGGUCUCAAGCGUUGUUCGGAUUCAUUGGGCGUAAAGGGUGCGUAGGCGGCGCGGUAAGUCGGGUGUGAAAUCUCGGGGCUUAACUCCGAAACUGCAUUCGAUACUGCCGUGCUUGAGGACUGGAGAGGAGACUGGAAUUUACGGUGAGCAGGUCGUGAAAUGCGUAGAUAUCGUAAGGAAGACCAGUGGCGAAGGCGGGUCUCUGGACAGUUCCUGACGCUGAGGCACGAAGGCCAGGGAGCAAACGGG
rnacentral:rRNA from 1 species